rnacentral:rRNA from 1 species
AUGGCUCAGGAUGAACGCUAGCGACAGGCCUAACACAUGCAAGUCGAGGGGCAUCGGGGCGAGGAGCAAUCCUUGCCGCCGGCGACCGGCGCACGGGUGAGUAACACGUAUGCGACCUGCCCGUUGCAGGGGGAUAAUCGGGAGAAAUCCCGUCUAAUACCGCGUAAUGCCGCGGGGCUGCAUGGCCCUGCGGCCAAAGGGAGCGAUUCCGGCAACGGAUGGGCAUGCGUGACAUUAGCUAGUUGGCGGGGCAACGGCCCACCAAGGCGACGAUGUCUAGGGGUUCUGAGAGGAAGGUCCCCCACACUGGUACUGAGACACGGACCAGACUCCUACGGGAGGCAGCAGUGAGGAAUAUUGGUCAAUGGGCGCGAGCCUGAACCAGCCAAGUCGCGUGAGGGAUGACGGCCCUACGGGUUGUAAACCUCUUUUGUCGGGGAGCAAAUUCCGCCACGUGUGGCGGAGUCGAGAGUACCCGAAGAAAAAGCAUCGGCUAACUCCGUGCCAGCAGCCGCGGUAAUACGGAGGAUGCGAGCGUUAUCCGGAUUUAUUGGGUUUAAAGGGUGCGUAGGCGGACUGUCAAGUCAGCGGUAAAAUACGGGGGCUCAACCUCCGCCCGCCGUUGAAACUGACGGUCUUGAGUGGGCGAGAAGUAUGCGGAAUGCGUGGUGUAGCGGUGAAAUGCAUAGAUAUCACGCAGAACUCCGAUUGCGAAGGCAGCAUACCGGCGCCCGACUGACGCUGAAGCACGAAAGCGUGGGUAUCGAACAGGAUUAGAUACCCUGGUAGUCCACGCAGUAAACGAUGAAUACUAGCUGUCCGGGGCGAAUGAGCCCUGGGUGGCACAGCGAAAGCGUUAAGUAUUCCACCUGGGGAGUACGCCGGCAACGGUGAAACUCAAAGGAAUUGACGGGGGCCCGCACAAGCGGAGGAACAUGUGGUUUAAUUCGAUGAUACGCGAGGAACCUUACCCGGGCUCAAACGACACAGGAACGUACCUGAAAGGGUUCGGCUCUACGGAGCCUGUGUCGAGGUGCUGCAUGGUUGUCGUCAGCUCGUGCCGUGAGGUGUCGGCUUAAGUGCCAUAACGAGCGCAACCCCCAUCGACAGUUGCUAACAGGUCAGGCUGAGGACUCUGUCGAGACUGCCGGCGCAAGCUGCGAGGAAGGCGGGGAUGACGUCAAAUCAGCACGGCCCUUACGUCCGGGGCGACACACGUGUUACAAUGGCAGGUACAGCGGGAAGCCACCUGGCGACUGGGAGCGGAACCCGAAAGCCUGUCUCAGUUCGGAUUGGAGUCUGCAACCCGACUCCAUGAAGCUGGAUUCGCUAGUAAUCGCGCAUCAGCCACGGCGCGGUGAAUACGUUCCCGGGCCUUGUACACACCGCCCGUCAAGCCAUGGAAGCCGGGGGUGCCUGAAGUGCGCUGCCGCGAGGAGCGCCCUAGGGUAAAACCGGUGACUGGGGCUAAGUCGUAACAAGGUA